rnacentral:rRNA from 1 species
GACGUAGGGUCCAAGCGUUGUCCGGAUUUACUGGGCGUAAAGAGCGCGUAGGCGGCUCGUUAAGUGUGAAGUGAAAUCUCCAGGGCUCAACCCGGAAACUGCUUUACAUACUGGCGAGCUGGAGUGAUGCAGAGGUUUGUGGAAUUCCUGGUGUAGCGGCAGAAUGCGUUGAUAUCAGGAGGAACACCCAUGGCGAAGGCAGCAAACUGGGCAUCAACUGACGCUGAGGCGCGAAAGCGUGGGUAGCAAACAGG